rnacentral:lncRNA from 13 species
CCUGCCAAUAAAGCCGUUUGAAUUGAAUUAAAUUCAGAGCGAGCGGCGGCCUUAUGUCUCCUGUUCUAAAUGUGAAAUUCAUUCCAGAUGACCUAUUAUUUACUCAGCGCCAGACUGUAACCUAUUUAAAUACUAAGUCAUUCAAAUCCGCAAGUGUAGAAGUUAGACUCGUCUACUUUAGGAACACGCUUAGAGCUCGAUGUUUUUUUAUUGCCUCUAAGGCCAAACGCAAAUUCUUACUGAAUGUCGGUUUGUUUAGAAGUAUGCGUACAUUCAGCAAGGAAAUGACCCUCACCUUAUCUCGGUAGUAACCUUAUCUAAUCGAUUCCCUAACGGUCUGUUGUUUUCAGAAAGCGAAACUUGUUCUCCGCACCUGUCCGUUCCAGUUCGCAUGCACAAAGGUGACAUUGGGUCACACCCAAGGGAGAGAGGCGGGAGAGAGGAAACCCAUAUCACGUGGAGAGUGCCAGUAAUUGCGGAUCAGCCUCAGGAAUGGAGAUGUACGAUGUACUUCAAUUCCUUUCUGCCUUUUCACCCGGGGUGUUUUAAGCCUCCCUCCCGCCUCAAUAGGUUAACCAGGGGGUAACCAAACGCGAGCCGGUAGACUGAUAAUGUCAACACAUGACGCGGCGAAGGUAGAUCUCAGAUUUCUAGGUGGGGAGAAGGAGAGAGAGGAAGAGACAGAGGCGCCAAAGGUUCCUGUCCAGAGAGACGGAAACUGGAAGAGGACGAACAAGACAGAGAGACCCCAGGAUGUGAGGUGGUCCCAGGAGAAGAAUCAUCAUGGAAACGAAGUGGAAACUGACCAGUGGACUCAGACACCACUCAGUGCCAACAGUGGGGGGAUAGAACAGACAGAGCUAACUUUGGGGACCAGGGAGGACAGUCACGGCCGACCUGCAGUUCUGAACAGGAACAGCAAGAACUACGACCUGGAAAAACUAGAGUCCACAGCUCAGAGGGAACACUGUCUACACAGUUCUCAGGGACCUGUAAGGGACACACCUAUAGCUCAAGCACAGGUGAAAAGAGAAGUCUCACCAUCAUAUUAUUUUGUACCAGCCAAUUGCCCUUCAGAGGAAGAGGAAGUGACAUCGCUUCCUUUUAAAGAGGAAGAGGAUUCCAAGACAGCCAUGUUGUCCUCCACGCUGGUGUCGGUUCUCGCCCCACAGUGGAGUGGGAGAAUACGCAGGAACAAGCGGGGCGUGGCCGGUACGGACAUUGGUGUGUUUGGCACGGCAACCAGUGAGUCUGGACAGGAAACCCAAGGUAACGGACAGGAAGUGAGCGAGGGGGGUGUGCUUUUGAAGCCGCAAGUCCCUCUCGAGACAGACUCUGUAGGACAACGACGACAACAACAGUUUCUGGAGACCCAGAACCAACGUGUUGGGGAGAGGGGGUUGACCCUUGGAUCACAAGUCCAUGAGAGGGCUUCAACACUGGGUAGCAGCAGAAGCACAGUGGGGGGCUGGUAUGAGGGAAGCACCCCCAGCCUCAAACUGCACAACCCAACAAAGGCCCCAGUUUCUAAGCCUGUCUCUCUGGAUGUGAGUUGGGGGAGGCUGGCCAACAGAGGCGGAGAGGGGGGAGCUGUUUCCCCUGUUACUCCCAGCUCUCCCCUCUCUCCCGACCUGCAUGUACACAAGGGAAUGUUACAGGCAAGUCGUCAAGGAGCCCAGACAUCAUUGCUGAGUUCCAAACCAACAACCAGUAGCCUUCUUUUCUCUCUGAGAAGGCUCAACACUAUUGCGAGCUCUGUCCACUCAGAGACAAAUAUCUCAUCUCUAACCAAUGACAGAGAUGGAGAGACUUCAAGUCCACACCUCUCUCCAACCACAACCAAUUACAAAGCAUCAGAGACAAUUAGGGCACACCUUUCCCUAACCUCAUCCAAUGAUGGAGCCAGAGAGAGGUCCAAGUUCCUCCCCUAUUCAGCUGAUCCCACUUACAGGACAAUAGAGAGGUCAAGGCACCUCCCCUUACCAACUUCCAAUCACAGAGAAGCAAAUACACACAGAACACAACUAUUUUCAACAUCGCCCAAUUACAAAGACACAGAGGGCACACCCUUUACCAAACUUCCCCAGACUUCCAGGGCGUAUCCCAACCCAACCUUCCCCAGUAAGCAGACUCUUCUGUUUAGUGGUCUAGAGAGACUUUCCCCCUCAGAGAGACCAGAUGGAACCACGGUUCCCAUCAGUGAUACUCAUCUACCUUCCUCUCCACCGUCUCAAUAUGACCACCUGGAUUUUCAUGGGAGCCAGUCUCUUCCCAGAGGAACCACCCUGAGAUCUACUAGCUGGAGAAAGCACAUUACUCUGGAGGACAGUGUGUCUAAUCCCAGUUCCCCCCUCAGUCCCACUACCACCACCACUAUCAACAACAACAACAACACAUUCAGCCUCUCAAGCACUUCCAGCAAUAAUAACACGGGCCCCUCUAGCACCAAUGAUAACACUGGUGUCAAUCCCCAAAUCAGCAUCAAUAACAACAAUCAUUUAGUCACCCCCAACAAUACCAACCUAAACAGCAAUACCCUCAUUGGCAAACACACACCUCAGAGCACCCUUAAAAGGACUUAUGCUCAAGAUAUCCCAGACCAGGAUUCCUAUAGAAUACUCAAAACUCAGAAUUCCCUUAACUCGAAUGACCGACAAUCACAAAAGCCCUAUUGUUUGUCCAAUAUCUCCUUCAGGUCUAACACCAGUAGCCCAGCUAGCUCGAGCACUUUGAGUAGCCCAAUAAAGUCCAGCAAGCCUGAUCGCUACAGUAGGCCAUGUAGUUAUGACACCAUCUACACCCCUCUGACCGUAUUUAGCCCCAAGACUCCAACCAGCUCUGAAACCAGUGACACUCCAUCCUCCCUCAGUAGUCAUAGAACCCUUUAUUUGUCCCAUUCCCCGAACCCCUCUUCCAGACAGCUCUCCUUACAAACCAGUAUCGCCUCCACAUCCCUCAGUAGCCACAGACCCCUCUAUAGUUCCCGCUCACUCAAUACCACCAGCUCUAUGAGACAAGACCCCCAAAACAGCCCAAAAUCUCCACCCCCAGUCGUCAGAAGCCAGAUUCCCAUAGUGAGUAACACCCACACCCCCACAUCCCAACUGCAGUCCCCUAAAACUGCUUACACGCCUACCACAACUCCCCAACCACUCCUAAUUAAAACCGGCUACGUCCCCAGUAUCCCGACCCGCUACACCCGACCGUUGUCCCCAGACAGCUAUACCCCCAUAUCCCUGAGUAUCCCCACCACCCAGGCCCCCUCCACCCUGCCCCUCUCCCCACCCAGCUCGUCCCCUCUGGUGGAAAGGACGUUCAUAGGCAGCCUAGACCUCUCCCCUAAGAAACACCAGCCCCAAGUGGAAGGGAGGGUAACAGCACAUAGAGCGUGGCAGGAGUCACAACUAAGGCUGUCACAGUCUCAUUCACCUCAGAGACCUCUGUCCCCAACCAGACCCCUCCGUAGUGUAGGGGGUCCCGCCAUCUUCUCCUCCCUGAGAUCGGGCAGCCCAACCUGGGCUACGUCACCUUUGUCUCCCCCAACCCCCAGGACUACCAAACUACAAGUUUGGAGGGGAACCUCGAUGCAUAACUUAUCCAUAAUAUCUGAUACAUUGGUGAAGGAGGGAGGGCAAGCUCUCUCAGAGCAUGUUAGCGACCACACUUCGAACGUCACAGUCAAGAACACAGGAACCGACUCGACCGUAAUAGGACCACAGAGGAAGACCGCUGCCCCUCUCUCUCUUCCAGAUUUUGGGAGCUUUUCCAAGCCACGAUUUAGCUCCCCGCCCUAUUCCACACUCAAGUCUUCACGCCCAACACAGGGUGAGGUCACACACACAACAUCACACCAACCCCUUCUCUCACCCCCUACCUCACCCCAACACUACCCCUUCUACGGCCAUCACAGGGCUAGGUCACAGGACAGUUCAAAGAUUGUUGCCUUGGAAAUUGAUUGUGUCAACAACAACUCCAAACAGACCAGUCAAGAAAAUGUUGAGACACUUGUGUACAGGAUUUCUAAAGUUGAUUCCUCUGCCAUAUUGGACAGUAUUAGGCCUGCACAGCCCUGUUUUCCUCGACGCACACCAGACACACGAGUCGUCACAGGGAUAAAGUCCAAUGAACUCUGCCGUCUACCUUCACAACACAGCCAGGUGAUUGGAAGUCCCAGCUGUCAAUCAUACCAAAGCUCCAAUGACAGUGGAGCAUUAGACACUGAGAAGGUUGUGUGUAAAAGUGAGAGUUUCCCUAAGGGUGCAGCGGCUCCACUACAAACCCAGAGCCCAAAGAAAGGCUUAUUCUCACUGAGAGGUAAGAGAGACAAUGUUGUUGGUACGCCUGCUGCCAAUAUCCCUAGAAACCCAGCGAUGCCUCAGUCUGAGAAACCAAAGAAAGAGUCAGAGAAGGAGCAGAAGGAAAGUAACAAAAUAGACCUGGUGCUGAGUCGACUCCGGCAGACCUUCAGAGUCAAACGUCUCGAUGACGAGAGGACGAAGAGAACACCCCAGCCUCCUCCUGUCAAUGGAGCCAGUGACAUUAGUGAUGUCACUGAGAGUAGUGGUUCUAGCAAUCGAGAAGAGGAGGAAAAAUGGAGGGAGAAUGAUGGCGUUCACAAACCUUCAAACUCUUUCUGGGCUGGCAGUGAGCACACGUCAGAUAUGACGAAGGAAAAUGUUAGACGUGAACACUCACAGUUUGAGGGUUUUAAAGACCAUAAAGAGGCUAGAAACAGAGACCAGCCUUGUGUUAUGGAUCUUCCUCAAUUUGAGGCUUACAAGGACGAAAGGAUCACUAAACCCAAACACCAACCUUCUAGUAGCGAGAUCAGCCCAACAAGACGGCAGUUUGAAGCUUAUAAAGAGGAGAGGAUCAGUAGAGCCAGAAAGCAACCUCCUCAGAGAGACUUCAGCUCCGUUAUGCGUCAACCCUGGGACCCCAGCCGCUCUGCAACCCUCCCUGCCUACAGAACCUCCUCAGGCAGCACCAGAAACACUUUCUCUGUCUUCCACUUCAACCAGAAGGACUCUGAGAACGAUAACGUGUUCCACAUUCCCAGGAUUCCUCAGAGGAAGAAGACCACCUCUCUCUGUGAGCCAGGGGACAGGGAGUUCGGUUCCGGUGAUCAGCGUGGCAGUGAGGGACGUCUGACAUCCUUCUCCUCCUGUGCUGAUCUCAAAUACGGUCUUGAGGCUGGGCGUUCCUUCUCUGUGACUUCUGUGCUCUCCAGCCGACCUUCGGGUCCUGGACGAAUCUCCUCAGGCCCUAGGGUCAGCAGUGUCAGUGACCUCACUUACCCUGCUCUGACCUUUGGAGAAGAGGUCAUGACUUGGGAUGACUGUAGGGUCAAAGGUGAUUGGACAAUACCAAGGUGGGACACACACACAACCACUGGCCACAAAACCACAGGUGACAGCCAAGCUGUAAAUGACUGGUCUGUCUUUAGUGACAGGACAUCCAGAAAUGAGCGCAAAACAAUCAAAGCUAAUUUUAUAAAUCCACACAAGGCUAGAUCCAAAUCCCUACCCAGAAAUGUAUCCUGGAGUUCAGACGUCACUGCCCCAUCUCCAACCUCUACCACCACUGGCCGCAUGUGGAACCAUGGCAGCCUCGAGACCUCUCCCUCCCUGUGGGAUACAGAGGGUCCUCCAACCCCCCCUCCGUCCCCUCCCUGGUCCCCAGCCUCCAGACGCAUAUCUCGCCCUCCCAGCUCCUCCUCCUCUGCCUCGCCCUCCCCCACAGACAGCAGGGCAUCACAGGACAGCCUGUCCCCUAGGGGGCGCCUACCCUCCAGGGGCUACGUCUCCAACCUGGCAGUCUUCGAGGAGUCCGACUCAGGCUCUGACAUGGACUCUGACACAACCACAGAUGAUGAAUACUACCUGGCAGGUGAUGGCGGUGAGAAGGAAACUGAACUGUGA